AGAAUCCCGUGAACCAUCGAGUCUUUGAACGCAAGUUGCGCCCCAAGACUUGGUGUGAAUUGCAGAAUCCCGUGAACCAUCGAGUCUUUGAACGCAAGUUGCGCCCCAAGCCAUUAGGCCGAGGGCACGUCUGCCUGGGUGUCA
rnacentral:rRNA from 1 species